rnacentral:rRNA from 1 species
AACGAACGCUGGCGGCAUGCCUAACACAUGCAAGUCGAACGAGACCUUCGGGGCUAGUGGCGCACGGGUGCGUAACGCGUGGGAACCUGCCCUUAGGUUCGGAAUAACUCCCCGAAAGGGGUGCUAAUACCGGAUAAUGUCGUCGGACCAAAGAUUGAUCGCCUUUGGAUGGGCCCGCGUUGGAUUAGCUAGUUGGUAGGGUAAGAGCCUACCAAGGCGACGAUCCAUAGCUGGUCUGAGAGGAUGAUCAGCCACACUGGGACUGAGACACGGACCAGACUCCUACGGGAGGCAGCAGUGGGGAAUAUUGGACAAUGGGCGAACGCCUGAUCCAGCAAUGCUGCGUGAGUGAUGAAGGCCUUAGGGUUGUAAAGCUCUUUUAACCGGGAUGAUAAUGACAGUACCGGGAGAAUAAGCUCCGGCUAACUCCGUG